rnacentral:rRNA from 1 species
AGAACCUGAAACCGUGUACGUACAAGCAGUGGGAGCACCCUUCGGGGUGUGACUGCGUACCUUUUGUAUAAUGGGUCAGCGACUUAUAUUCUGUAGCAAGGUUAACCGAAUAGGGGAGCCGGAGGGAAACCGAGUCUUAAUUGGGCGUUAAGUUGCAGGGUAUAGACCCGAAACCCGGUGAUCUAGCCAUGGGCAGGUUGAAGGUUGGGUAACACUAACUGGAGGACCGAACCGACUAAUGUUGAAAAAUUAGCGGAUGACCUGUGGCUGGGGGUGAAAGGCCAAUCAAACCGGGAGAUAGCUGGUUCUCCCCGAAAGCUAUUUAGGUAGCGCCUCGUGAAUUCAUCUCCGGGGGUAGAGCACUGUUUCGGCUAGGGGGCCAUCCCGGCUUACCAACCCGAUGCAAACUGCGAAUACCGGAGAAUGUUAUCACGGGAGACACACGGCGGGUGCUAACGUCCGUCGUGAAGAGGGAAACAACCCAGACCGCCAGCUAAGGUCCCAAAGUCAUGGUUAAGUGGGAAACGAUGUGGGAAGGCCCAGACAGCCAGGAUGUUGGCUUAGAAGCAGCCAUCAUUUAAAGAAAGCGUAAUAGCUCACUGGUCGAGUCGGCCUGCGCGGAAGAUGUAACGGGGCUAAACCAUGCACCGAAGCUGCGGCAGCGACACUGUGUGUUGUUGGGUAGGGGAGCGUUCUGUAAGCCUGCGAAGGUGGCCUGUGAGGGUUGCUGGAGGUAU